UACGAAGGGGGCUAGCGUUGCUCGGAAUUACUGGGCGUAAAGCGCACGUAGGCGGAUUGUUAAGUCGGGGGUGAAAUCCUGGAGCUCAACUCCAGAACUGCCUUCGAUACUGGCGAUCUCGAGUCCGGGAGAGGUGAGUGGAACUGCGAGUGUAGAGGUGAAAAUUCGUAGAUAUUCGCAAGAACACCAGUGGCGAAGGCGGCUCACUGGCCCGGUACUGACGCUGAGGUGCGAAAGCGUGGGGAGCAAACAGG
rnacentral:rRNA from 1 species